rnacentral:rRNA from 1 species
AGGAUUUGACAUGGAGAGAGAUGGCCGAGAGAUCGGUCAGCCCGCAAGGGUCUCUUGCAC